GCCUUCGUGGUGUAGUGGUCAGUACGUUGGGCGUGUAUCCAAGAGGUCCGGGGUGCGAGUCCCGGCGACGGCA
rnacentral:tRNA from 1 species